AGAGUUUGAUCCUGGCUCAGGAUGAACGCUGGCGGCGUGCUUAACACAUGCAAGUCGAACGAUGAUCCCAGCUUGCUGGGGGAUUAGUGGCGAACGGGUGAGUAACACGUGAGUAACCUGCCCUUAACUCUGGGAUAAGCCUGGGAAACUGGGUCUAAUACCGGAUAUGACUCCUCAUCGCAUGGUGGGGGGUGGAAAGCUUUAUUGUGGUUUUGGAUGGACUCGCGGCCUAUCAGCUUGUUGGUGAGGUAAUGGCUCACCAAGGCGACGACGGGUAGCCGGCCUGAGAGGGUGACCGGCCACACUGGGACUGAGACACGGCCCAGACUCCUACGGGAGGCAGCAGUGGGGAAUAUUGCACAAUGGGCGAAAGCCUGAUGCAGCGACGCCGCGUGAGGGAUGACGGCCUUCGGGUUGUAAACCUCUUUCAGUAGGGAAGAAGCGAAAGUGACGGUACCUGCAGAAGAAGCGCCGGCUAACUACGUGCCAGCAGCCGCGGUAAUACGUAGGGCGCAAGCGUUAUCCGGAAUUAUUGGGCGUAAAGAGCUCGUAGGCGGUUUGUCGCGUCUGCCGUGAAAGCCCGGGGCUCAACUCCGGAUCUGCGGUGGGUACGGGCAGACUAGAGUGAUGUAGGGGAGACUGGAAUUCCUGGUGUAGCGGUGAAAUGCGCAGAUAUCAGGAGGAACACCGAUGGCGAAGGCAGGUCUCUGGGCAUUAACUGACGCUGAGGAGCGAAAGCAUGGGGAGCGAACAGGAUUAGAUACCCUGGUAGUCCAUGCCGUAAACGUUGGGCACUAGGUGUGGGGGACAUUCCACGUUUUCCGUACCGUAGCUAACGCAUUAAGUGCCCCGGCCUGGGGAGUACGGCCGCAAGGCUAAAACUCAAAGGAAUUGACG
rnacentral:rRNA from 1 species